CCUACGGGAGACAGCAGUGAGGAAUAUUGGUCAAUGGCCGGAAGGCUGAACCAGCCAUGCCGCGUGAAGGUCAGUGCCCUAUGGGUUGUAAACUUCUUUUAUAUGGGAAUAAAAUGUUCCACGUGUGGGAUUUUGUAUGUACCAUAUGAAUAAGGAUAGGCUAACUCCGUGCCAGCAGCCGCGGUAAUACGGAGGAUCCGAGCGUUAUCCGGAUUUAUUGGGUUUAAAGGGAGCGUAGGUGGAUUGUUAAGUCAGUUGUGAAAGUUUGCGGCUCAACCGUAAAAUUGCAGUUGAAACUGGCAGUCUUGAGUACAGUAGAGGUGGGCGGAAUGCGUGGUGUAGCGGUGAAAUGCUUAGAUAUCACGAAGAACUCCGAUUGCGAAGGCAGCUCACUGGACUGCAACUGACACUGAGGCUCGAAAGUGUGGGUAUCAAACAGGAUUAGAUACCCGAGUAGUC
rnacentral:rRNA from 1 species